GCCACCGCGCCCAGCCUGGGUCAUUUGUUUAGGUAAACAGAGCCAUACAUUCAUCAGUCUUCUGAAAGGCCAUCCAUACACUGUAACACAGCCUAAUAACAGAGUUUGUUGUAAAAAAAAAAAAAAAAAAAAAAAACAACUGUCAGAAAAGGCUACCUUUUGUUCUGUAUAUUCAGUUUACAUAGACGUGGAAAUAAGCUAUCCAUACUAUCCUCUCAGCUCCUCAACAGGCCUGCUUCAAGGGCAUCAUUCUCCCAUCUUUCAUAUGAAGAAACAAGCUACGACAGGUAAGGUAUUAUUCACCCAGGGCCACACUGCUAGGAUCCAAACCCAAAUCUGUCCACCUUCAAAGCCCCAGGUUUCCUUACCAAUAAAUACUAUGGCACCUCACUAAACUCAAGGUGAAGAAAUAACUGAAAAUAUUAGUUGAAAAAGAGCUAAUGCAGACCACAACCUAAAGAUACACCAAAUCAAAAGAAUUCUCUUUUGUUCCAGCAUUAACUCUAUGUCUGCCUAUAGUAUUUUUCUAUCUUCUUGGCAGGAAACCUUUCACUCACCUUCUAAUCUGACCCUAGCUCCUUCCCUGAAAACAGAAAUUCCGAUAAUACAUCAAAAUAGGUUAACAUUAGCUACAGGAAUACCAAUUGCCUAAAGGUAAAACUUGCGAUUACGAAAUUCUAAAGAUACAUGGAAACAGCCAAAUGAAUAAGGGUGGUCCAUGCCACUGACUACACACAGUAAAUCUACCAAUUAUCAAGCACACAAAUGUCUUUUUUCUCAAAGUACUGCAUGAAGUAAAUGUACUUAAAAACUAUGACUCCAAAAUUAUCUAAAGAAUGCUUAGCAACCAGUAUUAUGUCAGGAAAACAAUAUCUGCUUUCUAGGUUUGCAGCUUUUGUAAGCUAUCUUAAGCCCCUCCCAUACAUAAUUUAGAAAAAUAGCAAACUUCAAGCACUGACAUAAAAUUACUCAUCUCUAGUAAUGGAAAAUGAUUACAGUUUAAAAUACCAAAAGAUACAGGGUAAGCUAAUUACUAAAAUUUGAAAACUCCACCAUCUAGUGGCACAAAUAUAACUAUCAUCUACUUCCAUUAUGGAUACAACUUAAAUCAGUUUGAAAUAUUCAAUCACAAAAUUCAAUGACUAAGUUAUUACUGCAGCAUUAAUGAUACAGAAUAUCUUUAAAAAUAGCUUCAUGUUUUGCUAUAUAGUACCUUAGGUUAAGCAUUCAUUCUCUUCAUUAAAGCACCUGUACCCAAAUGUGCCUUUCACAUCUACUUUGUGUACAUGCCAUUCCUUAAGCUUAGAAUGCCCCUUCCCACUUCACUGUCUAAUCAUUAGUCUUAAUGGAAUGGCAAACUCCACAAUAAUGUAGUGCCUAUUAACCAUGUCACAUAUAUUAAUUUAAUCCUUCCAAUAUUACCCCAUUUUACAGAUUUUUUGUUUAAAAAGAGCCAUAGAAAUACUAAUUUACUGAGGUUCCAUAGCAAAUCAACUGCAGAGCUAGGAUUUGAAUCCAGGCAGUUGAGAUCGAGCUCACGUUCCUAACAGGCUACACUGCCUCUCAAUCAGCAUGUACGUUUACUGUAUACAUUUACCAAUCCAUUCCUUCUCUAGACUGGAAGUAGAGGCAUGCCUAUUCUUAACUCAUUUUUAAUCAAUUCUGAAUAACAUAAUAAUGGAAAAUUUUGAGUUCAAAUCCCAGCUAGUAAUAGAACCUUGGGCAAGUAAGUUAAAUAAACCCUGUAGCCUCAGUUUACUUAUCUGUGAAAUAAAUCUAUGCUAUGCAGUGGUGCAAAAAGGAACAAUAAAUGUAAGACCCAGGGCAGAGGCUGGCACAGUGUAUUACACCAUCAGGAGUAUCUAUUAUUGUUGAAGUAUCUUAGGUGAGUAGCUAGAGUACUAAAUAUGGUAUCUUUGCAAGACAUGGGCUUGAAUCCUAAUUCUGACACUAAACUGCCUUUGUUUUGGGCAUGUUCCUUAACAUCUCUCAACUUUACUUCUCUCUCUAUAAAAUGAAGAUAUCAUCUACUAAUAGUGUAAUUAAUAUUAAAUAAGUUAAUAUUAUAUACAUAGUAGGCACUCCGUAAGUUUGUUAAAUCAUCAAAUUACUUGAACAGAAAAGUCAACCUCAAAAAGUCAAAACUGACUUGUUUUAAACUUGCUUGAGGCCUGGAAGGUUGGCCUCAAUUCUCAGUAUUUCAGAACAAGCUGCUUACAACAGAACCUUGAAUUGUGUAUGAGAGCACAUCAACUUAUUGCUUACUUCUGAUUCUUCCUGAGCUAGAAACUACUCACAUGCACUCUGUAAAUCAUGACCUGAGAGUCUGCUUGGAGCAGUCCCUCUUGGACUUUUUCUUCUUCUUACCUCUUUCUCUUCUUGCCCUCCCUGAGGCCAGGCAUCAUCUCCCUUUACCAAUCCAAUCCACAAUAAAAAUAUAGUCACUUUCAGCUUCUCAGUUUUUUCCUGGUUUCUCCAUGAUGAUACUCCCCAUUUCCACUCAUUUGCAGAAUGGGUGUUACUGCUGUUAUAUUGCAGUCACUCAACAGUAAAAUAAGUCCAAUGACUAAAGUCAUCUUAGGGGUGAUUAUUAUUCAGUGGGAUCAAAUAAGAAUUUGCUAUCUCAGAAAAACAACAUUUAGGCAGGCAAGUUUUAUCUUCUGCUUUAAAAAAGUCUCGUCUUGGUAUGCAAUAAUAUAUAAAAAUUACAUAUAUAUUUAAUGAAGCAUACAAAUAAGUGAACCCACAAUCCAAAUUAAGAAUAUUUCUAGUAUCAAAGUUUCAUAUUUGCCACUCCCAGAAAUAACCACUCUCCUGAAUGUUUAUCAUUCAUUUUUUCCAUAAUUUUAUUAUGAAAAUAUUACUCAUAAACACAACAUAUAAGUACCAUAGUAGUGUUAUAUUAUCUUUCUUAAUAUUUAAGGUACAAUAUUUCACUAUGCAGAAAUGACUGCUAUCCUUUCAAAAGUCUGCUUACAAGCUUGGCCCUUGACUAAUACCUAUAACUUGGGAUUCUGAGGAGUCCCAUCAUGCCCACAACUGAGAAGAGUAGCUUACUGUGCCUAAACUGGAUAUACAAACAACACAAUUUACUCUAAAUGCCUACUUUCCUUUUGGAAGUUUGGAUUUUGUUAUGUGGCAGGCAGAAGAAACCUAUGUGACCAGCUGCACCUAACAGGCCUCACUGGGAGAUGACAUUUCAUAUAUGUUGUCACAGUUCACUGCUGAAGGAAUAAAACAUGCCCCUAAUUCCACUGGGAGAGGAUCCCUGGAAGCCUGGCUUCCUCCAUACUUAACCCCACAUCUUCUCCCUCUCCUGAUUUUGCUUUGUAUUAACAUCUUUUUGCCAUAAUAAAUCAUAGCCAUGAGCACAACUAUGUGCUGAGUCUUGUGAAUUCUCUAAGCAAAUCAUCAAACCUGGGGGCUAGUCUUUCGGGACCCCCGACAUAUUUCAUGUAUAUUACGUACCAUAUGUAAGGGUUAUUUUAUUUGAUAUAUUUCUAAGGAACAUGAUUCCAGAAAACAGAAUAUACUGCAUAUUUCUAAGACUUAUUUUUACUUAACAUUUUUAAAAAAUUGAUCCAUGUUUUAAAGUGUAUAGCCAAGGUUCAUUCAUUUUGCACUAAUUCCACUGUAUGAUUAUGUCACAAUUCAUGGAGUCACUCUCCAGUUAAAAAGUAUUAAUACUGUUUCUACAUUUUUGCUAUCAUGAGCAAUACGGCUACAAAUUUAUUUGCACAUCUCCUUAAGCAUGACUACAAGAAUUUACUUCUCAAGGAUAUAUAUAAAAGAGGAAUGAAAUUGCUGAUAUUCACCUCUACAAGAUAAAGCCAAAUUAUUUUCCAUAAUUUUUCUAUCAGGUUACAGUUGCACCAAAACAUAGGUAUUAUCACUGAUCUACAUAUCCUAAGUAUCAGUACUUAAAAUUUUGACUCAUUUUUCUAGUUUUUCAAAAGAGUGUAAUGAGGGAUGUACUCAAACAGCAUUAAGAGUAUAAGCUUGUAGACAUUUAUUCAGCAUGUGGCUUGUGUCAGGCUCUAUGUGAUUUGCUUUUUUAAUAACAGUUUCACUCAUCCUCAUAAUAUAUAAAAUAUAUUAAGUUGAAAUAAAACCUACAGGCCAGCAGGAAUUCUUGAGAAUUUUCUACUUAGUGCCCGUACAUGCCUAUGGAUUUGAUAAGUAUCUUAAAGAAAGAAUGAGUCUUUAAAUCCCAGGUAUCUACACACAAGACUUUCUCUAGGUUCCUUCUAGGAGUAGGGUGACCAAUUGUUCCAGUUUGUCUAGGACUGAGGGGUUUCCUGAAAGUUGAACUUUCAGUCCAAAAUAGGAAAGUCCCAUAUAAAUGAAAAUAGUUGGCCAACCUUCUGGAAUCAGUACACAUGGGUUCUUGUCCUAUUCUGCCACUUACUAGCUAUGUGUUCUCAGGAAUAACCACUUCCCUCUCUAAGCCUUUCUAAAUAUCAAGUUUGGGUUAAAAUAUUGCAACUAGUGCUCUUGGUCAUGACUAUUAAACAAUGAUACAGUUAACUAUUAUAUCAAGAAAAAUACAGUUAACUACAAAAAACACAAGAGAUUUGUAAGCUGUUUAAAAACAACUGGACAGAUACCACAACUUUUAAAAUGUAACUAGGAAAGCUGAACAAUUAAAUGCUUUGUCAUAUAACUUGUGAUAUUCUUCCUAAUCCAAUCUUAAAUGUUUUAAAAACUCAAUUGUCCUAUAUGACAACUAUAUGCAAAACUCUCUAUUAACUAUUAUACUUUAAUUACCUAAUAUGUUUUCAUUUAAUCAUACAUACUUUCCUCUAAAUAAUUCUUUUAUAAUUCUCAAAUCUUCAAAGAUUGAACUUCCUAAAUACCUGAUUUAGCAAUCAUUAAGGAAAUGAGGGGUAAACUUUAACGGGGGAAAAAAAAAAAGGAAAGAAUUAAUCCAAUAUUACCUUUUAAAUGUAUCAAAAACACCUGAAUCAUCAAAAUUAAUGGCAUCGGGGUGUCCAGGAGGUAGACAUACAUCGCCAAUAUGAACUUCACAACAUGGAAUCCCAUGCUGUACCACAGUCAAGCUUGGAUAAAAUGAUGACCAACCUAAAGUUAAACAAUGUUGCAUAAAGGAUGAGGACUCACAGAAAGAACCCUUAAUUACUUUAGAACAGACAUAUUAUUUCUCUAAGUUAAAAAGUUACUGCUAAGUCCCAAGAGACACUCUAACACAAGUCACAUAACUUUACAAUAAAGAAGUACUAGAUUAAAUACUUCCUUUCAGCAACAUAAAAACCUUCCAAAACUAGCUUACAAUUCAGCAUUUCGUUAUAUAUACAUGUAUCUCCUUUAUCGAUCAGCACUUCCAUCAGUUUACAAGACAGUAAGUGAUAAAGAUGACUAAGACCAUGAAAUAGUCUCUGAAUUAUUAAAUUAUGUUUAGCAUAGUGUUACUGUAAUAAGGCUCUGAAGACUGAUUCAGGUUUAUAUCAUAUUUGGUAACUCUUAAUAAAAAUGUGAUUACUAGAUCACUACACAUUCCCCAAACUAUACCAAGAUAAUAGAAAGCUUAUUACAGUAUGCUACAUGAACCUAAAAAUUUCUCAUACUCAAAGGAAAUAGAGUUCCACCUGACUACUGCUAAGAUACUUAAGCACCAUUAGGUAUUAUUAUAAGCAUUGUCUAUGGUAGUUUUUCAUUUAGUUGAAAGACGUUUUCCCCUCAAAUUAUUUUUUCUUAAUCAUUAAAGCUGCAGUCAUAAUUAGAGAUUUAAGAAGCUUUGUUUAAAAAAAAAUUACUACAAAUGCAAUUGAAGCCCUACCUUUAUUUUUAACAUAGAAAGGGUGGUCCAGCUUACACUCUACGGUAAGUAAACCAUCUUCUACUGUACCAGGAUCAAAAGUCAACUUCAGUACAGACUCGCCAAAUGAUACACUUUCUUCAUGUGAUAACAACUUUAGACCAUCAGAACCAUAGCCCUGAAAAUAUAUGCAUAGCAUGAAUGAAUUGGAAAUGUUCAAUUCAAAACACUGUGAAGUUGCCAUUACAUGUAAGACUUUGUGGAAAAGGUAAAAGUAACCAAGAUGGGAUCAUCCCUACUGUUUAAGAGCUCUUAACCCAGUAGUGAAGAAAGACAGAUAUAUAUAUAUAUAACUAGACUGGAAUAAGCCCUUUCACUCAAGUAUAAAUAAUGGUGUUGCAGUUUAAUAAAGAGUUAUUAAUUCCAAAAGAGCGAGAUUAAGAAGGGAUUUUCAAUUCCAACUGGAACUGAGAUUUAAAAGAAGAAUGCAACUGAGAAAGAUAGAAGGACGUGCCUUGCACCAAGAAAUUUUUAAUUAACACCUUCUCUGAGAAGUGCUGGGUAUUUGCUAAAAAUACAAAGUGAGUUCAGAUAUGGGGCAAAUAAAGCUAAUAAAGAGAGGCCAGUUAACUAACAGGCUCUUAAAGGCAGGCAAAGUAAUUACACUUUUCCCUAAGAAGGUAUUGGGAAAUCAAAGUGUUUUUAUCCGUAUGACUGUCAAUGUUUAAGAUGAUGGUAAGUAAGAAGACUCUACAGAAGAGAUCUCAUAUUCAAUUACUUGAGGAUAUGAGAGAGAUCCAUUAUAGAUCUGAACUGACAAAUGCAAUGGUAACAGAACCAGACUAAUUUAAAUUCAAUGAAUAUUGAGCAUUUAACACAUGCCACAUGAGAGAAUCUGAAAAUACAAACAUUAACAAACAUGAUCCUUACCCUUACAUUCAUAGAAAAAUGGAGACAAACAUGCCAAAAGCUAGCUAGAGUAUCCAAUCAUAAUUACACUAAUACAUGAACAUGGUAAUGAAUAAGAAAGAAGGAUGACUUAAGUCUUUAUAGAAUUAGAAUCAAAUGACUAUAAGUAAAGGGAAGAAAUGGAAUAGUAAAAGACAACUUCAUGAUUUUGAAUAUGGUAAUCAAGAAGGAUGAUCACAGUAACUUUAAAAGAAUAGGUGAAAAGCCAAGAAGAGGACCAAAAAGGUGAGGGCAGUUUUAGUCACACUAAGUUUCGUUCAAAUAACUGAUUGAUAUUCAUGUAGAAAUGUCUAACAUGCAGCUGAAAAUGAACAGGUGAAGGCUACAGACAUAGACUGGCAAAUAAGGAAAUUACAAAAUCUUCUAAUUCUCAGGGAUACAGGAGACCUUAAAACUAAUGUAAUCCAAUCCCAUUUUUGGGAAGCCAAUAUUCAGAGGGGUUAACAAUCUGCCUAAGAUCAGUAACACAGAUAAUUGCUGGAGGAGCUGUAAAGUGAGUCCAGGUUUCCUGACUUCAGGUCCAGAGUGCUUUCCACAGGACAUGAUGGAGGUGCUGCUGACACCAUCUGGAGAGAGGAACUGGUGAACAAAGUGAAGAGGGGCAGAAUCUUGUAUAAUAUUCAGCAUUAGGGGCAGACGAGUAUCCAGCAUAAAAGACUGGGAAUCAGGAUGCUGCCAUGCUACACAAAUCAAGGGAACAUAAUAUCAGGAACUAACCCAAUGUGUCAAAUGUUGUAUAGAUGUCAAACAGAACAAACAAAGUCUCUUGUCCUAGAAAUCAGAAUAAAGGUAGUAACCUUUGAGACAAUUUUAGUAGAGCAGUAAAGGCCAAAGUUAGACUACUGUGAACUUCACUAACAUGAAGAGUAACAGUAAGGGGAGGACACUGAAGGCAGCCAAGACAAGACAGUUUUUCCCAAGAGACUUAAUAGUGAGACACGGCAGGAUCAAAAACAGAAUAUAUUUAAGCACACUUCACAUGCCCAUUUUCUUGCCUACAGAAGACAUGCAGAAAUUAAAGAUUUCAAGUGAAAGGUAUCAACUUUAUCCUAAUACUGCUCACUACUGCUUUUGCUUAUCAACUUAGAAAAUGCUAGUUUUAAGUAACUUAAUAUAACUUAUAUAAAGUAACUUAAUAUAAUUGGCUGUCAAUAAUCUAUAGGGGAAUUAAUCACUUUGUAGAUAACCUAAGGCCAGGCUAUGAUUAGUUUAUUUCUUCAUUACAUGUUUUUGAUACCAGUUUUCCCCAAUCUAAAGUGUAUAAAACACAAAGAAGCAGUUAAGAAAUACACUAUUUCCCAUCCAAGAAAGCAUGGUAGUAAAGUCAGCCUAAAAUCACUGCUCCUCCCCAUCAGACUAAGCAGUGAGUAGUCACAAAAAUGCUCUACCUAAAAUGUAAGAUGUCAUAUGAAUAUGAAAGUAAAUGGAGAAUAUUUCUGUAGAUUAAUAAUAAAUCUUGUUUCAUGUUGAAAGAUUUUAAGAAAUUUAAAUCAACCUUGUGAACGCCCAUUUGAAGAUCUUCCUCAUUAUCACAGCCUUCAGCUCUAGCAAAAUCUUCAACAUCUUGCCAUUCCUUAUUGCUUCCCUUAUGAAAGCACAGUCGUGUGCCUACGGUUUAGGUAGAAAAAAAAAUAUUAGACGUGUGUCUGUGCAACACAAGUAAGCUGUAAAAAAUACAAGUUUUUUGUUUUGUUUUUACCUUUCAAAAAACAGUGCCAGACAGUUGAAGGCCAGGAAUUGCACCAUCCCAAAUCAUCAUCAUCUGACAGGGAGGACAUGCAGAAAAUGCCAGAUUCUGACUCACUAUUUGCCUAUGGAGAAAAAUAUUAUCAACUUUCAUUUGUUUUCAAAUAUAUCUCUUAAUACCUGUUUUUAUCCAAGUCUUUAGGCCCAUGCUUAUAGGUGGAUAACUUCAUAAUUCUAAAGUUAGGAACAAUACAGUGCGUUCAAAAACUGAAGUUUUUGUCAGGCUCUGGGAUAAUUUGCU